rnacentral:rRNA from 1 species
UACGAAGGGUGCAAACGUUGCUCGGAAUUAUUGGGCGUAAAGCGCACGUAGGCGGCUCUGCAAGUCGGAUGUGAAAUCCCUCGGCUUAACCAAGGAAGUGCAUCCGAAACUGCAGAGCUUGAGUACUUAAGAGGAUCGCGGAAUUCCCGGUGUAGAGGUGAAAUUCGUAGAUAUCGGGAGGAACACCAGUGGCGAAGGCGGCGAUCUGGGAAGAUACUGACGCUGAGGUGCGAAAGCGUGGGGAGCAAACAGG